rnacentral:rRNA from 1 species
AGUGAACGCUGGCGGUAGGCCUAACACAUGCUAGUCGAACGGCAGCACAGUAAGAGCUUGCUCUUACGGGUGGCGAGUGGCGGACGGGUGAGGAAUACAUCGGAAUCUACUUUUUCGUGGGGGAUAACGUAGGGAAACUUACGCUAAUACCGCAUACGACCUACGGGUGAAAGCAGGGGAUCUUCGGCCCUUGCGCGAUUGAAUGAGCCGAUGUCGGAUUAGCUAGUUGGCGGGGUAAAGGCCCACCAAGGCGACGAUCCGUAGCUGGUCUGAGAGGAUGAUCAGCCACACUGGAACUGAGACACGGUCCAGACUCCUACGGGAGGCAGCAGUGGGGAAUAUUGGACAAUGGGCGCAAGCCUUAUCCAGCCAUACCGCGUGGGUGAAGAAGGCGUUCGGGUUGUAAAGCCCUUUUGUUGGGAAAGAAAAGCAGCAGGUUAAUACCCCGCUGUUCUGACGGUACCCAAAGAAUAAGCACCGGCUAACUUCGUG